AGGUGGGCGCCUGAUUGCAAAAACUUGAAAUGUAUUCCCUCGUUAUCCAGGUGGACGCCUGAUACUGCAACAAAACAGACAAAACAAAAGAAACUUUUUCUUCCCCGGUUUGGGAUCUGGGCAUAUUUCUAAGUGUUAAUCGGACCAUAUCACCUACAGAACUAUAAGAAUUUAAAAGCUAAACCCAUUAUCCAAGAGGAUCCUGAGAAUUUUAAAAUCCUGAAUCCCAUUAUCCAGGAGGGUCCUGAAAAUUUUAAAAAC
rnacentral:lncRNA from 1 species